UAAUGCAUCGGAACGUGCCCAGUCGUGGGGGAUAACGCAGCGAAAGCUGCGCUAAUACCGCAUACGAUCUAUGGAUGAAAGCGGGGGACCGUAAGGCCUCGCGCGAUUGGAGCGGCCGAUGUCAGAUUAGGUAGUUGGUGGGGUAAAGGCUCACCAAGCCGACGAUCUGUAGCUGGUCUGAGAGGACGACCAGCCACACUGGGACUGAGACACGGCCCAG
rnacentral:rRNA from 1 species